rnacentral:lncRNA from 1 species
GCCAUUUUCAACAAAUUCUCCAUUAAGUGAUAAAACAAGUUUAUCGGACUCAAAGACACUUUUAAUGCUCGAUUUUUCCAAAAGAUUUCUACUAACUAAGUUCCUAUUCAUAAUCGGAACAUGUAGUACAUUUGUGAGAGUAACAUUUUUUCCAGAAAUGAAGAUAAUUUCUACACUUCAUUUUCCAAUUACUUUGGACCGCACCUCAUUACCCAUUUGGAUCUCUUGGUCUCCAUCCACUUUAUUGUACGUUUGGAACAAAGAUUUGUCAUAUGAUACAUAUACCGUGGCACAAGUAUCAUACCACCAACCAGAAACAUUUCCCUUAAUUGCAUUUAUUUCGCUCACGGUAAUCACAAUCUUGUUUUAUUGGAUGGAAUUCGCUCUACCCUCGGAGUUGUUGUGUUUUCGGAGUCUACAAUCUUUUGCGUAGUAUCUAGAUUUCCCUCAAACAAAGCAUCCUCCUUUGGUCUUCUUUUUGAACUUAUUAAGGUUUCUCGAAUGCUUCCUUUUAUUGGAUUUUAUUAGCGGUUUGAAUUUUUCUACAACAUUUACUUUGGAAGUGUCCUUAUGAGAAUCACUUUUAUCACGCAUUCUCG